CGGUCAUGGCUACAUCGGUGACAGAGGAAUCAAGGUGCGCGUGAUGCAAGCGACGCGUUCGAUCGAUCCAGCCGACGCGGGCGAUCUGGAUCGAGCUGUCGUGCGAGAGGGGAUCCAGUUGACGGACGCGUUGCGCGUGACUCGGUGGGCGCUCGAUCCAGGCGACACCGUCGAUUGGGUUUCGAGGGAGAAACGGAAGGGAUACGAUCGAUAAAGGCCGACGCCUCAGCUGAUCGAAAUUGCUCCACGAGACUUGAAUCAUACUUCAGUUUCUGAGCGCACAUUCAUGGCGGGUGAUGUGCCGAUCCUUCAGGCUGCCUAUGGGGUACAGAGGUACGUACAUCUAUAUAUGCUUCCUCCCCUGCCACUCUUUGCUCACCCCCUCCACUCUCGGCAGCAUAACAUCUUUGAGCAUGAUGCUCUGGUAGGUUUCCUCUUUUCAGUUCAUGUGUGAUCCAGUGCCAAAAAUUCUACUCACAGGUGAUGUUCAGGCUGUCCCUACUCGAUUGAUUUGGGUGCAUCUUGGAGCUUGGUACUGGGAUUCUCUGUUCAGCAGUUCGUAAUCUGAAAUGGCUUUUAUACAGGUAAUUAAUCCACGCAUCAUCCUUACACAUUUUACCAUCAAUGUUUAUAUGCUACAUGGUUGCUUAAAUUAUACUCCCUCCGUCCAAAAAUACUUGUCAUCAAAAUGGAUAAAAAGAGAUGUAUCUAGAACUAAUAUACGUCUAGAUACAUUUCCUUUUAUUCAUUUUGAUGACAAGUAUUUCCGGACGGAGGGAGUAUGUUCCUGGGCUAUUCAUUAUUAUCAUGCUGCUGUAUGGAACAUGUUAAUUAGAAAACUAUAUUGGAAUGUGUAAGAAACGCCCUUGAUGUUUUGAUGUUUAGAGGAUGAAUUGAUGCCGGCUCACACAAGCGACUUACCGGUCUGAUCCUUGAUGUAGUAUGACCUUCCGAUCACUGUUCAACCUUUAUACUUUUUCUCCUCAAAGUGUUUGCAGUGGCAAGAAAAUGCUAUUACAUCAUGUAUAUAAGAACACAUAUGGUCAGUUCACUUCUCUCUAAUAAACACAUCAAAUAGGUAAUCUUGACGUUUGCUCCUACUUAUUACUCCACAGUUGCAUGGUUCAUUAGAUCAAAAUCCAAAUAAGAUGCUUCAUGUUUUUCUUGGUGUUGACUUCUAAUCAUCUACUCCUGUAGUGCAACGAGAGAGGAGUGAUAUGUAUCUUAUGUUUGGUGUCUCCAGUGCUUUGUAAUGGCAGACGGUGAUUGUGUUUAUGUUCUUUUUCAUGUACAUGGGUAGCCACUAAUUUCUUCUCUGUCUGGUCGUGCAACAUGCAAGAGAAAAUACCCUUUCCCCAUGUUCUGAUUAUGUUAAUCACCUGGCCAGGUGCGGAGUGAGCGGGACGAUUAGUUUGAUACUUCCGCGUAAGUUACUUUUCUUUCAUUUGAUUUAGGAAAUUGCAUAAAUUGAUGGUAUACUCGGCAUCACUUUAAUAAACUAUCUUACAUGCUGAUGUUUAGAACAAUAACCUGUUGCGAAGAAAGCUAAAAGGGACUUCUCAUAUGAAAUUUAUCACCAAGCGGCAUGACACAUUGAUGAUAUUUACUUCCAUGUUGGAGCUAACAACACAUUGUGGCUUCUGUGUUGAACUUCUGGGCCAUUAUAUCUGAAGCAACUCAAUUAAAUUAUUAUUAUUGGAGGCCAUAAACUCACCCAUUUUGAACUGCAAAUUUUGUACUAUACUCUAUUUAUUUUUGCGGCUCAGUGGCUCGAUAACAAAACCUGAAGCCAUGAUGUCCAGUACAUAAACUGUGCUACAUUUGCUACAUUGUAGGGAGGACUUGUUAUUUAACUAGCCCAACUGGCUUCAGUAAAAAGAUUGGCAUCAUUCUGUUCCCAUUUGCUACAACCAUCUAACUUAGAACUUAUGCAACAAAUCUAUUGGAUUGAAUUCCUAAAUUCCCCUAUAUCUUAGAUUGUACAUAUGGGCAUCUGUCACAACGCACACAUUUACCAUUAACUAUCCUAAUUGAAGGUUUACACACUUGUGGCUAGCUCGAACCAAGUUCAAUCCCAUAGGAUAUCCUCUCCCACUACCGCACUACUUUACAACAACUUUAUGAAAAUUUGACUUGCAUGUUUUGUAACUCCGCCUAUGUUGUCUCGACGUAGCAGGUCCCAAGUGUGGGUAAAGGAGGACGGUUGAGAUAGGCCUGGUGAGCAAACGUCAAAACUUAGCCACUCUUAUGGAGAUGAAAUCCAAAAUAACUUGCAUGUUUUGUGUUGUCGUACAUUACAAAAAAUACUAUCAAUCUAUUGUAAAGUGGAUGGGCGCAGCAAGGUGUGCCAUCAUGAUCUACCAUUUUUUUUUGAACAAUUGGGCUGCAUGAUCUGCUGCAAUUCAUCUUUGUCCAAACUAAAUAUGAUAGUCUCUCUAAUGAUGCUUUGUUGAUCUUGUUUCUAAUAAUGCAUGAGAAAGCUACCACCACUCAUAUUUACCGGAUAUCUCAAUUUUCUCAUUCUCAGGUACGUGUUUCUCUAUUGAUGCUUAAGUGAUAUUCAAGAAAAUGAUGCAUGAGCAAGUCACACUCAGUCGUCUUACCAGCCAGUCAGUAUCCUACAGUCUCUUCAGUCUUAUUUUAUUUUUAUUUAUGUGUUGUUUUAGAUAGGCGUAUGUUACAUAUAUUGUCAAAUGAAAUUCUCAUGCGUGAUCUCCAUAUUUUCUUCUAAUGCAUUAAUCUGUAGUUUACUUUUCGUUUUCUGCCUAGAUUAACUGACAUAUAUUUUGCAUGUUGUGCUUAAUAGUCGAAAACAAAGAUAAAACAACAAAUAUAGGACCAUCAUCCAUUUUGAAGCAAUCUUUGUACUACAGUGCCAGUUCAAACUUGUACUUGAAACAUGAGAAUGGGUGCAAGCAGUCGUUAAAGCGCUCUCAUUUUUUCAGUGUUGUACAAUGUCCUUACAAUUUUGUAGCCAAUGAUCUUAACUAACUAUGCAUUCUUUAUAUAUAGAUGCUAUGUUUGUUAUCAUGUUAUCAGUCUUCAGCUUUCUUUGAUUGAUCAAGAAAGAAGGUUCAUCGUUAACUUGAAAAUAUAUUGUAAGAUUGUAUGAAAUCAACA
rnacentral:lncRNA from 1 species